rnacentral:lncRNA from 1 species
CAGCAACUUGGCCAGGGACUGAGCAACUUAUCAAAACCCUCUCUCUAAAUAAAAUGUAUAAAAUAAAAAGGAUGGGAUAUGACUCAGUGGUUAAGUGUUCAAUCCCUGAUACCCCCCCCCCCACAAAAAAAGGAUUAGGGCUCAGUGGUAGAACACUUGCCUAGCACAUGUGAGGCACUGGGUUCGAUUCUCAGCACCACAUAUAAGCAAAUAAGUGAAAUAAAGGUCCAUCAACAACUAAAAAAAAUUAAAAAACAACAACAACAACAAAAAAAAGAUUAAACACCAGGCCUUCUGAAAAGCAAUAAGGAGCCUCUUUCCAGAGGCUGCUCUCAGGUGACACUCAUGGAACUGCUGCAUCUUUAAAUUAAAGUCCUACAUUAAAUACGAAUUAUGUCAAAGUCACAUUUCUGAGUACCAUCCUUUGAGAAUGACUCCCACCAGGGAGGCAGAAAUAAAGAGAGGGAGGACAUUCUAAAGUCCCUUUUUCCUCCCCAAGUUCGUGGUCUUAAAGCAGCUUUCACAUGUUGUUAGUUAUCUUCUGAACUGUGAGACAGGUACUCUUUUCUCAACUAUUGAUGUGGAAACUGAGGCUUACAGAUAUUAAGUGACUUGGCCAUAUUUUGCUCAUUUUUUAAAAAUUGAGUUGUCUUAACAUUGAUUUUGUAGAGGGCCUUUAUAUUUUCUGGAUUUGAGUCCUUUAUCAGGUAUAUAUUCCUAUUUUUUUGGGGGGGGGGUACUAAGGAUUGAACCCAGGGGGUAUCCCUCAAGGGUUUUUAAAUAUGGGCUUUGGGUUUGGUUUGGUUUUGCCAUGUUUUAGGCAGGUCAGUUGUCAGAAGCCAAGGCCCGGUUUUCGUCUCAGCGCUCCCUUGCAGGCCAUCCCCCUCUCUGAGCCUCCAUGAUUUCAUCUUUUAAAUAGCAUGUCAAUGUGCCCCACUGCGAUCUAGGAGAAGGAAUAAGAAGCGUUUUAAAAACCGUCAGGUGCUGGGCUGGGGCUGGGCUCAGAGGAGGAGCACUCACCUAGCAUGCAUGAGGCACUCGGUUCGAUCCUCAGCACCCCAUAAAAAUAAAAGGUAUCAAGGGAAAAAAAACCUGUCAAGUGCUGCAAACUGU